rnacentral:lncRNA from 1 species
UAAGAUAUUCGUGUACAUUGAUCAGAWCCCCUCUCGGUCUUCUCUUCUGCAGGCUAAACAGGCCCAGGUCUCUCAGCCUCUCCUCAUAGGGAAACUACGACUCUAUUUAGGGAAGGAGUCAYCUUCCACUGUGCCCACCCAUUCUGUCCUUCCAGUUGAAGAAUGCACGUUACCUGGAGGUGGAAAUGGGACGUGCGGGCACGCUGUGACGCACCGGUUGUGCAUCUCGUCCUGCGGUGGAGAACAUCCUGCGAGAUGGAGCCUGGUCUAGCUUCCCGCUGGCUGGGACACCACCGGGACUUUGCAGGAAGAAGAACAGUAGGUUAAAAAGUGAUGUCUGUCUGCAGUAUAAAAAACGGUUUUCUCAUAUCUUUUGUUUCAGAAUGUAUUGCUGAAAAUGACAAAUGUAAAAACUGCAAAAAAUUUGCAAACUGAAAAAAAUGUAUUUUGAAAUAUGUCACAAGAUAUAUUUGCCUUUUUUAAACAUCAACUUUAUUCAUAUGUUAGAAAAGUGAUAGAAGUGAUCUGAUACUGCUAGGCUGCAGUGGAG